CUUGAGCCACCGCGCCCGGCCUAUGGUGAGUAUUUUCAUUCAAUCUGCAGGUGAUUCUUAAACCUGAUUUGUACCAUACUCUUUGCUGAGCACCAAGGAGGUUAAACUAAAUAAGUAAAGAAAUAGUCCCUGCUCUCAAGGAGCCUGUAGAGGAGUUGUAGUCUUUCCUCCUCCCACCCGCAUGCCCUCCAAAAAAAAAAAAAAAAAGGAAAAGAAAAAAACAUCCUGAAACACUCAGAGGAUCACAAGGUGCUGAAAAAUGCCCAGGUAAAAUUAUUACUGGAGACACUUGACCUGGAAAAAAGAAAUCAGCUGAAGAGGCUAAGGUGGCAGUAUUCGGAGGCUGACAUUCAAAGAAUGAGACUUAUUUUGUAUAGCCUUAGAAAGCAGAAUCUACCUCUCUGACCUUAUCACUAAGGUAAACUUGCCAUUCCAGCUAACACUUUUCUUUAUUGUGCUAAAAUAUACGUGACAUUUAUCAUUUUAACCAUUUUUAGGUAUAUAGCUCUGUGACAUUAAGUAUAUUUACAUCGUUUUGCAGCUGUCACCGCCAUCCAUCUCCAGAACUUUUCAUUGUCCCAGACUGAAACUCUGUGCCCAUUAAACACUCACUUCUCAUUCCUCUCUCCUUCCACUCCCGGCAACCACCAUUCUACUUUCGCUCUGUGAAUUUGACUACUGAAGGUACCUAGAGUGUAAGCAGAAAACCAAGCAGACCUUAACAUGUGAACAGAAAGAAGGAGCCUUCUCUAAUUUUCCUAUUUCUGAAGAGACUAUAAAGCUUCUGAAAGCAUUUGGCCAUCCAGUGUCAUUGGUCUCAGAGGCCGGCAGUUAUUGGAGAUGUCCUUCAAGUCUACAGUGGGUCUGAAGGGAGGGCUAUUAUUUUCUGUGAGACCAAAAAGAAUGUAACUGAAAUGGCCAUGAAUCCACACGUAAAACAGUUUUCCAGGAGGACCUCUCAGCCCAGCGCCUCGCCCCCGUGAAGUCAGCCCUGACUGCAGCCUGCGAAGCACCCGCCGGUUGUCCCAGGGGAGGGCGCUUCAGACGAAAACGCAGAGCCCCCCAGGAGGCGCGGGAAGCAGGAGGAGGGCGAGGGGGCCCAGGAAGGCAAUGGCGGUGAGGCGGAACGAGGAGGGGCGAGUGAGGACGGGGGGCGCAGGUGGGCGAGCGCCGGGCUGUCUGCAGCCAGAGUGUCGCCCCUCCUGAAGGCCCUGGGCAGGUGAAAUGAGGACCAGCGCUGACAAAGGGUAGGAUGCAGAAGACUCCUCAGGAGUGACCUUGGAGCUGAGAUCACCCUCGGGAAGCUCGGAUUCUCAUCCGUGUCCACAGACACGGCGGCCUCAGACUUGGAGUCCGGGGAAAAGGCAGCGGCUGUGAGCAUCACAGUGAGAAAACCAGGCUCCUGCGACCCCCAGGCCUUAAGCCCCGACCCCAGGGCAUUUGGGAGCAGGUCUGCGUCAGGGCCCAGCACACUCUGUAAGGGAGCUCUGCCUUUCUGGGGUCCUCCAGCUGAAGAAGGAUGUGAUUUGCACGAAACCCACCCUGUAGACCUCGAAAUCAGCAGGAAGCCCCAGGAACUUGGGUGGGGGGGACUUUGAUGUGGCUCCCGCGCACCCACCGGGCACCGCGUGAAUUGCCAGGCGCACGACAAUUGAGUGGACGCUGGGUUCGCUGAGCCCCCCAGAGGCUCCUCGCCAUGGGUCACCUGUGCCACCUUGGACCACCCAGAGAAACCCUUUCCCCCGCCAGGUGAGCCGCAGGCCAGGCUCCAGGCCUGAGUGUGCCCCUGGCGGGGAUUUCUCUGUGAACAGCCCAUCAUGCUGUAGUAUCAAUGUUAUCUCAGCUGCAUGUUCUGAAGAAACACGAAUUUCAUGCACAAGCGUGAAUUUUCCGUGUUUUAAAUUGUAAAUGGGACUCCAAGGAAGUUGAAACUUGAAGCAGCCUGGAAGCAAACUUAAUUGCGCCAUCCCCCACCAUCCUCCAGGGUAAACUGAGGAGCAUAGUUAAUUGGUUUUGUCAGAUGGGCUUGUCAGAUGGGCUGUUCUGGAUGUAACCACCUAAUUCCUGGAUCCCAUUGAGAGUCAGCUUCCUUUAUGGGCAUCUGACAAGAUGUGCUCAGAGUCAAACACCUUGAGGAUCUUUAUGGAAACAACUUUUGGCUUUUUAUUAAGAUGUCAUUCAGGGCUCUGAACAAUCGAAGACAUUGAAUUGAGCUGUUACGUGGAUGGGUUUGAUGUAGUUAUACAGUGUGCAAUUGGUACUUGUCAAUAGCAUAAUGAUAUUGCAAAAAUAAAGAAAACCGUCUUUAAAAAAGAAAAACAGCCGGGCACAAUGGCUCA